UCAGUGAAUAAUUUGCAUUCUGAGAGGC
rnacentral:piRNA from 1 species